ACAUCAGUUUGGUAUAUCCUUACCUGGUACCUUAGAAAUAAGGUUUCAGAACAUGAUGAUUGGAUUCAAUGAGUACGUGAUUACAAUCCGUAUUUGUUAAGGGACAACGACCCCUUAACGAAUCCUAUCUGAA